rnacentral:rRNA from 1 species
UACGAAGGGGGCUAGCGUUGCUCGGAAUCACUGGGCGUAAAGGGUGCGUAGGCGGGUUAUUAAGUCAGAGGUGAAAUCCUGGAGCUCAACUCCAGAACUGCCUUUGAUACUGAUAGUCUUGAGUAUGGGAGAGGUGAGUGGAACUGCGAGUGUAGAGGUGAAAUUCGUAGAUAUUCGCAAGAACACCAGUGGCGAAGGCGGCUCACUGGCCCAUUACUGACGCUGAGGCACGAAAGCGUGGGGAGCGAACAGG